CCUACGGGAGGCAGCAGUGAGGAAUAUUGGUCAAUGGGCGCGAGCCUGAACCAGCCAAGUAGCGUGAAGGAUGACUGCCCUACGGGUUGUAAACUUCUUUUAUAAAGGAAUCAAGUGAGGCCCGUGUGCCUUUUUGUAUGUACUUUAUGAAUAAGGAUCGGGUAACUCCGUGCCAGCAGCCGCGUUAAUCCGGAGGAUCCGAGCGUUAUCCGGGUUUAUUGGGUUUAACGGGUGCGUAGAUGGGUUGGUAAGUCAGUUGUGAAAGUUUGUGGCUCAAACGUAAAAUUGCAAUUGAUACUGGCAGUCUUGAGUACAGGAGAGGUGGGCGGAAUUCGUGGUGUAGCGGUGAAAUGCUUAGAUAUCACGAAGAACUCCGAUUGCGAAGGCAGCUCACUGGACUGCAACUGACACUGAGGCUCGAAAGUGUGGGUAUCAAACAGGAUUAGAUACCCGAGUAGUC
rnacentral:rRNA from 1 species